UACGCACGCUGGCGGCGUGCCUAAUACAUGCAAGUAGAACGCUGAAGGAGGAGCUUGCUUCUCCGGAUGAGUUGCGAACGGGUGAGUAACGCGUAGGUAACCUGCCUGGUAGCGGGGGAUAACUAUUGGAAACGAUAGCUAAUACCGCAUAACAGUAGAUGUUGCAUGACAUUUGCUUAAAAGGUGCAAUUGCAUCACUACCAGAUGGACCUGCGUUGUAUUAGCUAGUUGGUGAGGUAACGGCUCACCAAGGCGACGAUACAUAGCCGACCUGAGAGGGUGAUCGGCCACACUGGGACUGAGACACGGCCCAGACUCCUACGGGAGGCAGCAGUAGGGAAUCUUCGGCAAUGGACGGAAGUCUGACCGAGCAACGCCGCGUGAGGGAAGAAGGUUGUCGGAUCGUAAAGCUCUGUUGUAAGAGAAGAACGAGUGUGAGAGUGGAAAGUUCACAAUGUGACGGUAUCUGACCAGAAAGGGACGGCUAACUACGUG
rnacentral:rRNA from 1 species